rnacentral:rRNA from 1 species
AACGAACGCUGGCGGCAUGCCUAACACAUGCAAGUCGAACGAUUGCCUUCGGGUGAUAGUGGCGCACGGGUGCGUAACGCGUGGGAAUCUGCCCUUAGGUUCGGAAUAACAGCUGGAAACGGCUGCUAAUACCGGCUGAUAUCGCGAGAUCAAAGAUUUAUCGCCUGAGGAUGAGCCCGCGUUGGAUUAGGUAGUUGGUGGGGUAAAGGCCUACCAAGCCGACGAUCCAUAGCUGGUCUGAGAGGAUGAUCAGCCACACUGGGACUGAGACACGGCCCAGACUCCUACGGGAGGCAGCAGUGGGGAAUAUUGGACAAUGGGCGCAAGCCUGAUCCAGCAAUGCCGUGUGAGUGAUGAAGGCACUAGGGUUGUAAAGCUCUUUUACCCGGGAAGAUAAUGACUGUACCGGGAGAAUAAGCCCCGGCUAACUCCGUG